rnacentral:tRNA from 1 species
CUAAGGGUGGCAGAAUCAGGUAAUUGCAGGGGGCCUAAGACCCUCACACGGGGGUUCAACUCCCCCCCCUUACA